rnacentral:rRNA from 1 species
GCGGCGUGCCUAAUACAUGCAAGUCGAACGAACUCUGGUAUUGAUUGGUGCUUGCAUCAUGAUUUACAUUUGAGUGAGUGGCGAACUGGUGAGUAACACGUGGGAAACCUGCCCAGAAGCGGGGGAUAACACCUGGAAACAGAUGCUAAUACCGCAUAACAACUUGGACCGCAUGGUCCGAGCUUGAAAGAUGGCUUCGGCUAUCACUUUUGGAUGGUCCCGCGGCGUAUUAGCUAGAUGGUGGGGUAACGGCUCACCAUGGCAAUGAUACGUAGCCGACCUGAGAGGGUAAUCGGCCACAUUGGGACUGAGACACGGCCCAAACUCCUACGGGAGGCAGCAGUAGGGAAUCUUCCACAAUGGACGAAAGUCUGAUGGAGCAACGCCGCGUGAGUGAAGAAGGGUUUCGGCUCGUAAAACUCUGUUGUUAAAGAAGAACAUAUCUGAGAGUAACUGUUCAGGUAUUGACGGUAUUUAACCAGAAAGCCACGGCUAACUACGUGCCAGCAGCCGCGGUAAUACGUAGGUGGCAAGCGUUGUCCGGAUUUAUUGGGCGUAAAGCGAGCGCAGGCGGUUUUUUAAGUCUGAUGUGAAAGCCUUCGGCUCAACCGAAGAAGUGCAUCGGAAACUGGAAAACUUGAGUGCAGAAGAGGACAGUGGAACUCCAUGUGUAGCGGUGAAAUGCGUAGAUAUAUGGAAGAACACCAGUGGCGAAGGCGGCUGUCUGGUCUGUAACUGACGCUGAGGCUCGAAAGUAUGGGUAGCAAACAGGAUUAGAUACCCUGGUAGUCCAUACCGUAAACGAUGAAUGCUAAGUGUUGGAGGGUUUCCGCCCUUCAGUGCUGCAGCUAACGCAUUAAGCAUUCCGCCUGGGGAGUACGGCCGCAAGGCUGAAACUCAAAGGAAUUGACGGGGGCCCGCACAAGCGGUGGAGCAUGUGGUUUAAUUCGAAGCUACGCGAAGAACCUUACCAGGUCUUGACAUACUAUGCAAAUCUAAGAGAUUAGACGUUCCCUUCGGGGACAUGGAUACAGGUGGUGCAUGGUUGUCGUCAGCUCGUGUCGUGAGAUGUUGGGUUAAGUCCCGCAACGAGCGCAACCCUUAUUAUCAGUUGCCAGCAUUAAGUUGGGCACUCUGGUGAGACUGCCGGUGACAAACCGGAGGAAGGUGGGGAUGACGUCAAAUCAUCAUGCCCCUUAUGACCUGGGCUACACACGUGCUACAAUGGAUGGUACAACGAGUUGCGAACUCGCGAGAGUAAGCUAAUCUCUUAAAGCCAUUCUCAGUUCGGAUUGUAGGCUGCAACUCGCCUACAUGAAGUCGGAAUCGCUAGUAAUCGCGGAUCAGCAUGCCGCGGUGAAUACGUUCCCGGGCCUUGUACACACCGCCCGUCACACCAUGAGAGUUUGUAACACCCAAAGUCGGUGGGGUAACCUUUUAGGAACCAGCCGCCUAAGGUGGGACAGAUGAUU